GACAGAGGUGCCGAGCGUUAGGCGGAAUCACUGGGCUUAAAGCGUGUGUAGGCGGACCGUUAAGUACCUUGUGAAAUCCCACGGCUCAACCGUGGAACGGCUGGGUAUACUGGCGGUCUUGGGCCACCUAGGGGCAGCCGGAACAAGCGGUGGAGCGGUGAAAUGCGUAGAUAUCGCUUGGAACGCCGACGGCGAAAGCAGGCUGCUGGGGGUGUGCCGACGCUGAGACACGAAAGCUAGGGGAGCGAACAGG
rnacentral:rRNA from 1 species